UACAGAGGGUGCGAGCGUUAAUCGGAAUUACUGGGCGUAAAGCGCGCGUAGGCGGCUUUGCAAGUCGAGUGUGAAAUCCCCAGGCUUAACCUGGGAACUGCAUUCGAGACUGCAUAGCUAGAGUAUGGGAGAGGGAAGUGGAAUUUCAGGUGUAGCGGUGAAAUGCGUAGAUAUCCGAAGGAACAUCAGUGGCGAAAGCGACUUCCUGGACCAAUACUGACGCUCAUGUGCGAAAGCGUGGGGAGCAAACAGG
rnacentral:rRNA from 1 species